rnacentral:rRNA from 1 species
GAAAGUUCCCUUCGGGGAGCAAGUAGAGUGGCGCACGGGUGAGUAACACGUAGGUAAUCUACCUUUGGAUGGGGAAUAACAACCGGAAACGGUUGCUAAUACCGCAUAAUGCAGCGGCACCUAAUGAUGACAGUUGUUAAAGCGGGGGAUCGAAAGACCUCGCGUCUGAAGAGGAGCCUGCGGCGGAUUAGCUAGUUGGUAAGGUAACGGCUUACCAAGGCAGUGAUCCGUAGCCGGCCUGAGAGGGCGGUCGGCCACACUGACACUGACAUACGGGUCAGACUCCUACGGGAGGCAGCAGUCGGGAAUUUUGGGCAAUGGGCGAAAGCCUGACCCAGCAACGCCGCGUGAAGGAUGAAAUCCCUCGGGAUGUAAACUUCGCAAGAACGGGAAGAAUAAGUGAGAGUUAACAUCUCUCGCGAUGACGGUACCGUUUGUAAGCUCCGGCUAACUCCGUGCCAGCAGCCGCGGUAAUACGGGGGGAGCAAGCGUUGUUCGGAUUUACUGGGCGUAAAGGGCGCGUAGGCGGCCACCGCAAGUCGAUUGUGAAAUCUCCGGGCUUAACCCGGAAAGGUCAACCGAUACUGCGGGGCUAGAGUGCAGAAGGGGCAACUGGAAUUCUUGGUGUAGCGGUGAAAUGCGUAGAUAUCAAGAGGAACACCUGCGGCGAAGGCGGGUUGCUGGGCUGACACUGACGCUGAGGCGCGAAAGCUAGGGGAGCGAACGGG